AUGUGGUGCAAGCGGUAGUGCGCUCGCCUGGCAUGCGUGCGGCCCGGGUUCGAUCCUCAGCACCACAUA
rnacentral:tRNA from 1 species